UUACAGCUCGUGACAACCUCGAGAAGCAAACCUGGUUUAGCACAUGUGUUCGCGGUGUUGCUUUUUCCUCCUGAUUUUGACCUCGGCUGGUGUGCCCCCGAUCCAUGAAUCCCACUUUCGCCACUACGAGGAUCCAUGUUGCUCAAGCUGCGGGAUCGGGGCAUAGGUAACGGAUGAUGUUCUACUGCGGAUGGUGCAGCAGUGACUCAGGAUUCGUUCCUGGGGCUGGGCGAUGAAGAAGUUGUUAUGGCGCUAGAAUCUUCCUCUUGCAAGUGGCCCUAGGCCAACCAAAGUUGCUGCGGUAGGUGGAAGAAGUGCUAAAUCAGUGAACGCCCCGAGCCAGGCUUUGAGGCUUAUUCUGGGCUGGUCUCUUGCUUUUUUACCCCGACGCUUACGGGACCACAAUGUGCCCCUGGCUCGCGCAUCGCUUCGCUGCCGGCGAUUUAGUAUAGCCAGAAAGCGGAAGUGGGAGUGUGCUUGCCAGUUUCGCCACCACCGCUCCUCCUUGCAAUGCAUGCAGGUGCAGUGGAGUCGCGGCUGCCCGUCUGCAUCGCAGGUCAAGCUUUGUCGCUACCGUCGUCUGGUUGUUUGGAACCCUAAUUUUUAUGACAAGUUGUGGCGAAGAUUAGUCCGAGAGGUUCUUGGAUUGCGAGUUGGUGGUGGUGCAGAGUAGGGCAUGUGGAGCAGCGCGCGUUUGGAGGAAUGCGAAGGGUGGUGUUGUAGCAUGAGUUUGUGGAUCGAGAGGUCGUGAUUGGGUUAACAGCUUGGAGUAAGAUCUUGGGUUGGCGUGGUGGUUUGUCGUUGUGUAGAAGAGGGAGGGGCGAGGUUGAAGACGAGGGGAUAUGGUACUGGAUCGUCGCUACGACGACUUCGCCAACAACAACACCUACUCCGACUUCUCGAAUAGCAAGAGCAAGAUGCCCAGAUCGAAUGCGUGGGCCACAACAGAUCCCGAGAUCAAGCGCAAGAAGCGUGUUGCCAAGUACAAAGUGUUCACGUUGGAGGGGAAAGUGAAGGAUACCGUAAGGAGUAGCUGUCGCUGGAUCAAGAAUAAAUACUUAGUUGUCCGAUAUGGCCAGUGUUGAUCAGUCUUGUACAGCAUCAGCUUCGCGGCCCGAGAAGCAUGAAGGUAUUACCUACCGUCACUCCUGCACCAGGUUAAUGUAGAAUCUCUAGAUGUGAAUGUCUUUCUGGCAUGGACUAGUUAUGUAUUGAUGCCGGGGUUCAUUCUGGGGUUCAUAGCAAAGAUGCUGUAAAGCGGUUUGAAUCCACAGAUCAGCAUCCGAAUUCGGACGCUGGGUCUGCGUUGUUUUGAUUAUAAUGUAGGUCAUUCUUAUGAGGGAUGCGGUCUCAUUGGACCCAAUUUUUUGUUCGAUAAUUAUAGUGUCUUAUCAAUACGAAGAAAUUCUCAUAUCCCAUUCCAGAUAGUCAAAUUUUCUCAGAUUUGAGUGCAUGAGAAUGAUGGGUAACGAAAUCUUCAUACUACAUUGAUGUGAGUCGCCUCCAAUGCCGCAAUUGUUAUCUGAUGUUACUGGAGCUCAAUCCGUGGAACGGAAUCAGUAAUGCAGCGAAGAAUGUUUAUCAUCUGAAUUUUGUAGAGAACUAUUGCACAUAGUCGUAGUCUCAAGGUAUUGAAGUAGAAUUAUCAUUUCCUUAAGGAUCCCUCGAAGGAUCGGCUGUCAUAAUUUAUCUAAUAUAGUCGAAAAAGUUAAGAGGUUGACUGUGGAAAAUGAGCUCUUUUUGUCCGAUACUGUUCUGUUUAUCCAAUGACUAUCUAGUCCGGACUUUUCAGCAUUAUCAUUGUCAUCGAUACUAGAAGAGGCGUCUUAAGCUCUGGGUUGACUUAUUAUUUUGAAAAAAGAAAAAGGUAUCAAUCUACGGUUGUAUGUGUGUUCCGCUCUUGUAACUGUUAGGGCAACAACAGUUAAGAUAAUUUAGCGAUCCAUGAAUUGGACGUACACGCAAAUCUCUCGAAACUACUUCGUAGAUUGUCCCUAAACGCCAUGGGAAGCAUGGACUGCGAAUUGCGUAACCACUGAGAAGGCUCCUAGGAAGCGGAGGCUUGCACGCUACCAUUGUUCUGCGCAGGCAUGUUGUGAUUGAGAAGGCUUGUUCAAUGACCCUUGUUGCUGCUGUGCAAGUGCUGUGUUAUAUCGAUAUUAUCACGUCGGUUUGAAAAGCUGGAUUCAAAUGGCAAUUCUUUUUACGUUUCUUGUUUUAAUUCUAAAAGUGCAUGGUAAUAUGUGGGGAAGCCUAAAUUAGGUACUGGACUAACUUAAUCUCUGCAAGAUCAAAUGUGGUCCCACCACUUAAUCAGAGGAGAUUUACACGAUCCGCGUUUCCAUGAACCAAACACGUUGGUCAUCUUGUAUCACAGUACUUUGUAACAACGAUACUUCCAAUCUUAGCCGUCUAAGCAUGGACAGAGGGCUCUCACCUUCACAUGUCUUGUGCAUAUCUCAAUCUUGUUAAUUACCAUCCUAAGUAUGCGAAUGCAAAUUCUAAGCACCAGUGUCUGUUUGAGUACACAUAGAGUCCAAAUUCCCUACUUGAGUUGUUGGACUAAAACGGUGCUCGACAGUUUGAUUCAAACGCAGACUAAUAACUUGCUAUGUAAUGGCUUGGUCGCAGAUUAGAAGCAGGGCUAUCUUUUUCUUUGAAUACUUGAGAUGAAGUAGCUAAAGUUCGCUAGCAAGAACAAUCAUGAAGAAUUCUCAUUGUUGUAGACUUCCAUUUUUUUCAUGUCUCUCAAUGAGCAAAGAGGAGAGUGCUUCAUGCUUUUAGAGGUCUCGUUAUGAUCGGAGUCUCUAAUAAUUUCAAUGUUUUUAUUAUGCCAAUAUGCUUCAUACAUGUCGAAAGUUUCUUUGAAUGUGCUAAGACAGCAGUUCCAGGUACCACUCCUCGUGGCCUGUUUUGUCUUGGUAUCCACGACAGAAGUGUAAUAUUGGGUUGGUCUAUUACCAGCUGUCUAGGGAUCUCUGCUCUACAUGGAGUUUGAGAUUGAAUUGUUUUGUCCAUUAUUUAGUUCCACAGAUAGCGGCUCACAUGGAACUCGACCGUUAUCCCGGGUUGUACGCUUGACGAAAUUGGUGCCGGUACGUGGCUCUUCAGAAUCCGUUUUAAUUUGCAUCUCUCCCAAUGCCUGCCAUGGUCACCUUGGCCCUGACCCUGACCCUGUAGCACUGUUUUGAAGGUGCACUAUCUAAGUAGUGAUGGGGCUGAAGGAGAGAAUCCUUGUCAUUGGAGACUAGCUCAUUGAUCCAAAUAAUAUUCUCUUUUUCAUGUCCACCGAGAUCUGACGAACCUGCAGUAUUUCUAUAUUUAUCCUUCAUGCGAUGUCGCUAUUGCCUAGCUCACCAGAUUCGGUUGACAGUCUGCUGGUAAAACUUCUCCUUUCUGCGCAUUCUACAACUGCCUCACAUAACGAUGAAGGGGACUGUUUGCUUCAGUUCUAUCGUUUUGGCAGCUCAUUCUCAUGUGACUGACGUGGUUAACUGACAUGAUAUGUUUUUGCUUGUGAUGUACCGGGCGAAGCUGUAGGGCUGGCAUCUGUAGUAUGAGGAUCUCUGGAUGAGCUUCAUCUGGUGACUUUAUCGUUCAACUUGCAUCGAGUAGGGAGCGCGAAUCCCUGAAAGCUCAAUUUAGAGUACCAAACAGCUGGUCAGAGAAUGCCGGUUUUUCUGAAAAGCGAUAUCCUGAAAGUUUUCGUGAUAAUUGGGAGAAGUUGUGAGAUCACACUCGAGGAGGUUUCGAAGUGAGGAUAUCAUAGAAUUUGCUACGUCGCAACGAACAUUCAGUUGUUUCAGUGAUGCUUAAGAGCAGUCGGAGCUGUUCGAAUCAAAUAAUCCUGCCGAAGAUGUAAUGAUCGAACAAGCCAUGCAUGCUGGAUGAUUAGUAAACCUCGAAUCUCUUCUUACGUGCUCCAAAACGAGAGUGAAACAUCAAUCCACUACUUAGACGUGAAAAGCCUGCUCAUUUACAGCCGAUUUUAGAUGCGCAUUGUGCAGUGGCCGAUAACAAUGAACAUCAUCAGAUGGUGAAUUUCCGCAUUAGUGAUUGCAGUCUGAAAGCAAGUAAGAGCGAGAAUUGCUGAUACAUCUGGCAUACAUAAAUGACAAUGAGGUCUUACUACUUCGGAGCAAAAGAAAAUCGACCAUCGAAAAACGAUGAUUUGAUCAAAGCAAUAGAGAAUUAUGAUUUCCUUACCUGAAAAUAGAUUAUAUCUAUAACUAUGAAAUAUUAAAUAGACCAAUUCUUUCACUAAAUAGACCCACUCAUGGAUUAAAAGUAUAGUGGUUAUUAUGAAUGUGGUUGGUUUCUAUUGAUUGCCAAUACAAUAGUGAAGAAAUGGAUCUAAAGACCAUUUUUCUUUUCUCAUGAUGGUUAGGAUGGAUACGUCUGUUUGGUAUA